GUCCACGCCGUAAACGGUGGGCACCAGGUGUGGGGGGUAUCGACCCCUCCCGCGCCGACGCAAACGCAAUGAGUGCCCCGCCUGGGGAGUACGGCCGCAAGGCUAAAACUCAAAGGAAUUGACGGGGGCCCGCACAAGCAGCGGAGCGUGUGGUUCAAUUCGAUGCGACGCGAAGAACCUUACCAGGGCUUGACAUGCAGUGUUCAGCGGGGGAAAUCCCGUGGCCGUAAGGCGAACUGCACAGGUGCUGCAUGGCUGUCGU
rnacentral:rRNA from 1 species